UAAAAUAUCCAUUUUACCCUCUCACUCUUACAACUAUUAUAAUACAUUUUUUAUUACAAAGAUAAUAUGCUUUUAUUAUAAAUAUUUUUCUAGUUUAAUUUAAUUAAUUUAAUAUGUCUUCAUUUUGACUAGUUUAAUAUGUAUUUAUUUUAUUUUAUUUAAUUAGUAUAUAUUCAUUUUAUUUGUUUAAUUACAAAUGGAAGAAUUAGAUAUUUUUUAUUAGAUUUAUUUUAAGAUUUUUAUAUUGUUCUAGAGGUAGUUUG
rnacentral:lncRNA from 1 species